rnacentral:sRNA from 1 species
GUUAUGAAUUUAUCUGAAGCAGUCACUAGAAUAGUUUUCUUAUUUGUUCCUGUUGAGAUUUCCUUGUUGGUUUUUCCUCUCUGAUAAUUUUUUUCGGACCAUCCUGCCUAAGGGCUUACUCAAAAAGGUAAUAAUGAUGUCUAAUAAAAUGACUGGUUUAGUUAAAUGGUUCAAUCCUGAAAAAGGUUUUGGUUUUAUCACUCCAAAAGAUGGCAGCAAGGAUGUAUUCGUCCAUUUCUCUGCUAUCCAGAGUAACGAUUUUAAGACACUGAAUGAAAAUCAGGAAGUCGAGUUUGGUGUUGAACAAGGUCCAAAAGGUCCCUCAGCAGUUAAUGUUGUGGCUCUUUAAGGUAACUGUUAUCACUAAUAAUAU